rnacentral:rRNA from 1 species
AAACUUGUGCUAAUACCGGAUAAGUCUUUACGGAGAAAGCUUUAUGCACCAUUGGAUGAGCCCGCACUUGAUUAGUUUGUUGGUGGGGUAAUGGCCUACCAAGACUAUGAUCAAUAGCUGAUUUGAGAGGAUGAUCAGCCACAUUGGGACUGAGACACGGCCCAAACUCCUACGGGAGGCAGCAGUGGGGAAUCUUGCACAAUGGAGGAAACUCUGAUGCAGCGAUGCCGCGUGAGUGAAGAAGGCCCUUGGGUUGUAAAGCUCUUUCGUCGGGGAAGAAAAUGACUGUACCCGAAUAAGAAGG